rnacentral:rRNA from 1 species
CCCUUUGAUACUCUGGGCGGCACGCGCGCUACACUGGUUUAUAUAACGUGUAAUUUGGACGAUAGUCUGUAUAAAUCACUAAUAUAAAACCGUGAAUGGGAUAGUUUAUUGCAACUUACAAACUUUAACUAGGAAUCCCUUGUAGAAGUAGUGAAUUAUACUGCUUCGAAUACGUCCCUGCCGAUUGUACACACCGCCCGUCGUUUCUUCCGACUGGUACUCAUUGCGAAUUGCGAGGAGAUUCUGUCAAAUCGUUGUAAAUGCUGGGUAUUGGAGGAAGAAAAAGUCGUAACA